rnacentral:misc_RNA from 1 species
AAAGUCGUAACAAGGUUUCCGUAGGUGAACCUGCGGAAGGAUCAUUAUUGAAUAAACCUGAUGAGUUGUAGCUGGUCCCUUCGGGGACAUGUGCUCGCUUGUCAUCUUUAUAUCUCCACCUGUGCACUUAUUGUAGACCUGGAUAACUUUCUGAGGACACUCAGUUCAGAGGACUGCUGUUUAUCUUACGAUACCGGCUCUCCUUACAUUUCUAGGCCUAUGUUUUUCAUAUACUCCGUAUGUAACAGAAUGUUAUCAAUGGGCUUUAUGCCUAUAAACUAUAUACAACUUUCAGCAACGGAUCUCUUGGCUCUC